GACGGAGGAUGCAAGCGUUAUCCGGAAUUAUUGGGCGUAAAGCGCACGUAGGCGGGUCGUUAAGUCAGGGGUGAAAUCCCGGAGCUCAACUCCGGAACUGCCUUUGAUACUGGCGAUCUAGAGAUCGAGAGAGGUGAGUGGAAUUCCGAGUGUAGAGGUGAAAUUCGUAGAUAUUCGGAAGAACACCAGUGGCGAAGGCGGCUCACUGGCUCGAUACUGACGCUGAGGUGAGAAAGCGUGGGGAGCAAACAGG
rnacentral:rRNA from 1 species